UUAUAUAUUACUAUUUUUUUUUUGUUUCAAAUAUAGCACGCGUAUAUUUCUUCAUUAUUCAAAAAUAAACCCAUCGUUAAUAUCCAUUAAGUUAUCUUGGAUUGAAUCUGAAUUAAAUUUAUAUCAGAAUUAAAAAAAAAGUCAAAAUACCUCAUUUAGAGUCCGGCUAAUAUACUAUUAUGAGUACGAUCGCCCUCGUACUUAUAAGUUGUUUUCGAUGAUAGAGCUUCCGAAUCGACGAUCUACACCGUUAAAUGUUAUCUAGAGCAUUUGAAACAUUUAGAAAUUAAAUUUCAUAAUUUUUCGACAUUAUUUACAUUACGAUCAAAAGCUCACAAAAUUGACAAUUUUUAACAGCCGGUAUGGAAUACUUGCUAGUUUAACGGUGCAAAAGAAUCCGAAUAGGUUGAAUUUUUUAUAGAAAAUUCUAUUCACUACCUAUAUAAAGAUCAAUAACUCCGAUCUUAAAUUGAAGGAUCUGAUCAUCCAUUUUUAAGACAUCGUUUGAUUUUGACCGUUCAUUUUAUGCCCGCUUGAUGGACUUUAUUAUGAUUUCGAAAAAUUACGAAAUUUAUUUUCUAUAAGUUUCAAAUACUCUAGAUCAUAUUUAACGGAGUGGAUCGUCGAUUCGGAAGCUCCAUCAUCGAAAACAACUUAUGAGUAUGAAGGGCCCAAUACUCAUAAUAAUAGUAUAGUAGCCCUACUCCCUCAUUUAUCCCAAACUUAAGGACAAAUAAAAAAAAUUGUACUAUUGAUGACUAGUGACCAUAGGUAAUAAUCUCAAAAAAAUCUAUAAUACAGUAGUCACAUUGCUGAUAUGGCAUUCCUAACUAAUCAUAUUGCUCUUCUAGAAUUAAUCGAUACCAUCAUAAUUUUUAUAAAAAAUAUUUUUAUUGUAUUUUUCUUUAGAAAGAUGAAAUAUAAUUGACCGGUUAUAGUUAACGUGGUGUAGCUGCUGCAUCGUAGGCUUCCCCAAUAAUCCCAUAAAUAAGAUCUUUAUUCUUUUCUUUUUUUUUUGAGGUUGUUUGGUUUCUUGAAAAAUAAAAAAAAAUGAGAAAUUUUUUUAUGGAAAAUUUUUAUGGGAAAAAAUUUAGAGAAAAACUUUUUUUUAUGGAAAUAUUUUUCUAGUUUUUUUUGUUUGUUUGGUUGUAAAAAAUAUUUUUAAAUUUUUUUUAAGAUUUUAUGAAAAGUAGUAUUUUUAGUUUUUUCAAAAAACUAAUUUUUUUUUUAUAAAAUAGGAAAACUUCAAAAAAAAAUAAAUUUUCUUGGAAUCAGGAAAUAUUACAAAAAGAAUUUUGCAGAGAAACCUUUUUUUCGAUAUUUUUUUCAGAUUUUUUCGAGCGACAAAACCGCUCUUAAUAGAAAAACAUAUGAAAUCUUGUUCGGUAUAUUUCUAAAUUAAAUUUUAAAAAAUUAGAAACGUUUGGUAUUUUUGAAAAAAAUAAAAAAUUUUCUAGUUAAAAAAGUAAUUUUAAUUUGGACGACUUCGUUCCUACGAAUAAUUUUUCUAUUUAUAUAACGAUCUAAUCUACUAGCAAUAGUAACUCCUUGAAUUCAAACUAUCGGGAUCCAAAAUACUUAAACUCAUUAUUAUUACUAGUGUCGAUGAUACGUCCUCGUCAGUGUCCAAUAUUACCAGGCGGUGCGAGACUUAUUUCGCUAGUCGUAUCAUUCCGACUCUAAUUUAGCCUAUCAUCUUGUAAUUCCGACUUUGAUUUAGCAUGUCAUUUCGAUCCUGCCUUAACCAAGACUUAUUUCACACUUUCGGUUGGUGAUUGACUCUAAUAUCAAAUAUAACGACCCGACCCACUUGCAAUAGUAACUCGUGAGGCCUAAACCACCGGCCCAAAAUACUUAAACCUAAUUAUUAUUACUUGUGUCAAUGGUCUCUUUUAUACUAAUCAUAAUUUCAUUCCUAUCCGAUGUGGGUCUAUUAAGGUGUCACAAUUUAUUCGAUUCCAUAGAAAAUUAGCGUUUUUGUUUUCAAAUUUUGUAUCUGAAAAAUAAAAAUUGUAA
rnacentral:lncRNA from 1 species